rnacentral:rRNA from 1 species
UGAGGAAUAUUGGUCAAUGGCCGGAAGGCUGAACCAGCCAAGCCGCGUGAGGGAAGAAGGCCCUAUGGGUCGUAAACCUCUUUUGUCAGGGAACAAAAGCGAGUAUGUAUACUAGUCUGAGUGUACCUGAAGAAAAAGCAUCGGCUAACUCCGUGCCAGCAGCCGCGGUAAUACGGAGGAUGCGAGCGUUAUCCGGAUUUAUUGGGUUUAAAGGGUGCGUAGGCGGCGAUGCAAGUCAGCGGUAAAAGCCCGGGGCUCAACCCCGGCGAGCCGUUGAAACUGCAGUGCUAGAGAAGGCGAGAGGUACGCGGAAUGCGCAGUGUAGCGGUGAAAUGCUUAGAUAUUGCGCAGAACUCCGAUUGCGAAGGCAGCGUACUGGCGCCUGACUGACGCUGAGGCACGAAAGCGUGGGGAUCGAACAGGAUUAGAUACCC